CCCCUCAACCUGGAGAAAACUGUUAAGGACCGCAACACUCUUCACCACCUCAACUCCCUGCACCUGCACCUGCAUUUAACAUACGGAGAGUUACUCAAGGAACGGCAGUCCCUCCUCAACUCCCUCCACCCCCACACCAGCCCUCAACGUGCAGCGAACAGAGGAGCUUUGUGCUGUGAGGAAAAACAUGGUGACACGGUUUCAACCGGCGGUGGAUCGGGCAACGAGGAGAUGUGUUCCGCCUCCAUCCACACAAAUGGAGUAAUAGGAGAAAUAAGCAUUAAACAAUCUUUUUAUUGAA